rnacentral:antisense_RNA from 12 species
CAUAGUUAAAUAUUGCACCUGGAUUUAAGGUUGGAUUAGGUACAAGACGAACAUCUCCACCGCCAGGUGCCCAUGUAUCGUAUAUACCUCCAAAGAACAUCGCCUUGGCUACAAGUAAAAAUGCCCCAAUUCCAAGCAAUACUAAGUGUAUCCCUAAAAUCGUUGUCAUUUUAUUCUUAUCACGCCA